GCCCAGUGCUCUGAAUGU
rnacentral:ncRNA from 2 species